AACACCCUGAUACAAAUCAAUUAACCCAUCAUACACAUGUCAAUUACUUGAAAUUUAUGAAAACUUAGGAUGUAGGCUCAAUCUAUUAUAAUAUAGUAAUUGUGAAGCGCGCAUUGUUAGAAUGACAAUUCAGCUCUUCUUACCUUGCCACCUAUGUAUUUUUGCUGACAUGUCACACUCUAUGCAUUAAGAAGCCUUUGCACCUCUCAAGUCUUAAGUAUCAAUUCCCUUUCACUCACCUCUCUCUCUCUCUCUAUUCCAUUUUACUUAACUUCAUAUUUUUUCACCUGACAUGCCCAACCCACUGCUUUACGUUACUGGACUUUCGGUUUAAGCAUAAACUAAUUUUCUUCUAUAACUAUUCUCAGUCAUUCUUCUUUUGGGACAUUCAUUUCUAUUCUAUACGUUCAAUUCUCAAGAUUCCAUUUCUACUUUUAUGUUAAUUUAAUUCUAAUUCUCAAGAGCGGCAGCGCCAGCAAAUCAUCUUCAGCCACUUGAAACGCUUGAAUUAAUGACAUAAAUGAAAAGAAACGGGUAAAGAUUAAAAGCAUAUAAAAGAUUACUAAAGGCAAGUGAUGUACCCAAAACAUUAUCAUUUUCUCUCUAGAUUUUUUCCUUGAUAUGAUAAUUCAAUUGGACACAAAAAAAUGGAGGUCCAUUUGAAAAGUGGCAGCCACUUGGAGAAUGUCAAACGCAUCAUGUGUUAAUGGCGUGAAUUAUGUUUCUACUCUUACGAACCUACAAAAAUCAGAACAUCAAGGACUUCAACAACACCCUUAGCAAGUUGCUCCUAUAGAAAUUAUGAAGACCUUAUUUUUGAAGGAAAAGUUAUAGUUGAAGGUUCUACUCACAGUUUAUAUAUAGGAAGUGAAGGUGACCUGAAUUAUCAACCAUAUAGAGUAGGAUAUACAAGUUCCGAAAGCAAGAGAUGUGCCCCAAACAUGACCGGUAGCCACAUCUUUGGGCUUACUCUGGUUCACAAUUGUUGGCCAGAGGUGAAUCUCAAUGCUCUUGUAGAAGCAAAGUAGGCAAGAGGAAUCAUGAAAGCUGAUGAAAAGAGGUAACGAUAGGCCAAGAGAACACUCAUACUCAUCCCAUUAUUUGCAACCAAUUUGUACAAGAUGCUAACCCCAGCAUACAAAAAUCGAACCAAC